rnacentral:tRNA from 1 species
CUCUAGUAGCUUAAUCAUAAAGCACCGGUCUUGUAAUCCGGAGAUUGAGGACUAAGUCCCCUCCUAGUGCCAGAAAAAAGAGAUUUUAACUCCCACCCC